rnacentral:rRNA from 1 species
CCCAGACUCCUACGGGAGGCAGCAGUGGGGAAUAUUGCACAAUGGGCGCAAGCCUGAUGCAGCCAUGCCGCGUGUAUGAAGAAGGCCUUCGGGUUGUAAAGUACUUUCAGCGGGGAGGAAGGUGUUGUGGUUAAUAACCACAGCAAUUGACGUUACCCGCAGAAGAAGCACCGGCUAACUCCGUGCCAGCAGCCGCGGUAAUACGGAGGGUGCAAGCGUUAAUCGGAAUUACUGGGCGUAAAGCGCGCGCAGGCGGGCUGUCAAGUCGGAUGGGAAAUCGCCGGGCUCAACCGGGGAACUGCAUGCGAAACUGGCAGGCUGGAGUCGGGUAGAGGGGGGUAGAAUUCCAGGUGUAGCGGUGAAAUGCGUAGAGAUCUGGAGGAAUACCGGUGGCGAAGGCGGCCCCCUGGACAAAGACUGACGCUCAGGUGCGAAAGCGUGGGGAGCAAACAGGAUUAGAUACCCCAGUAU